rnacentral:SRP_RNA from 1 species
UGCCGGCAACUCCGCGACGGCAAGCUGUGAACCCCGUCAGGCCCGAGAGGGAGCAGCGGCAGCAGCGAACUCGUGCGCUGGGCACGGCUGGCGCAG